rnacentral:rRNA from 1 species
GACGAACGCUGGCGGCGUGCUUAACACAUGCAAGUCGAACGGAAAGGCCCUGCUUUUGUGGGGUGCUCGAGUGGCGAACGGGUGAGUAACACGUGAGUAACCUGCCCUUGACUUUGUGAUAACUUCAGGAAACUGGGGCUAAUACCGGAUAGGAGCUCCUGCUGCAUGGUGGGGGUUGGAAAGUUUCGGCGGUUGUGGAUGGACUCGCGGCUUAUCAGCUUGUUGGUGGGGUAGUGGCUUACCAAGGCUUUGACGGGUAGCCGGCCUGAGAGGGUGACCGGCCACAUUGGGACUGAGAUACGGCCCAGAAUCCUACGGGAGGCAGCAGUGGGGAAUAUUGCACAAUGGGCGGAAGCCUGAUGCAGCAACGCCGCGUGCGGGAUGACGGCCUUCGGGUUGUAAACCGCUUUCGCCUGUGACGAAGCGUGAGUGACGGUAAUGGGUAAAGAAGCAACGGCUAACUACGUG